GUCGGCGACCAUACCACGUUAAAAACAUGGGUUAUCGUCCGAUCAUCGAAGUUAAGAAACUUUGGGCCCGGUUGGUAUUUGCAUGUUUUAUCGGCUGAGAAUAACAGGUGUUGCCGGCU
rnacentral:rRNA from 1 species